GACGAACGCUGGCGGCGUGCUUAACACAUGCAAGUCGAACGGAGUGCCUAUGACAGAGGUUUCGGCCAAUUGAUUAGGUUACUUAGUGGCGGACUGGUGAGUGACGCGUGAGGAACCUGCCUUUCAGAGGGGGACAACAGUUGGAAACGACUGCUAAUACCGCAUGACACAUCGUUGGGGCAUCCCGAUGAUGUCAAAGAUUUAUCGCUGAAAGAUGGCCUCGCGUCCGAUUAGAUAGUUGGCGGGGUAACGGCCCACCAAGUCGACGAUCGGUA
rnacentral:rRNA from 1 species